rnacentral:misc_RNA from 1 species
UUUCCGUAGGUGAACCUGCGGAAGGAUCAUUAAAAAAUAUCACAUUUGUUUGUGAUUUAAUAAUCAUCCUACCCUUUGUGAAUUUGUUUUUGUUUGAAAUUUAUGUUGUCUAUCCCUGGAUUAUGAAAGAAAAGUUGUAAAAGACUUUUUUUUCAUUCUAGGGAAUAGGCUUUCAUAGACAUUUUUUUAAAUUAAACUUUUUGUAUUCAUUUGUCUAAAAUUUAUUUUUAAAUAAUUUAAAAACAACUUUUGACAAUGGAUCUCUUGGUUCUCGCAACGAUGAAGAACGCAGCAAAAUGCGAUAAGUAAUGUGAAUUGCAGAAUACGUGAAUCAUCAAAUUUUCGAACGCAUAUUGCACUUUUUUAGUUUACUAAAAAAGUAUGUCUGUUUGAGUAUCAGUAAAAUAUUCUCAUAAAAACUAUUGUUUUUAUGGUUAUGAGUGUUUUACGACGAUAACAAGUUGUUUCACUUUAAAUUGAUUUUUUUAAUAAGCCAAUUUGGUUUUAUUUUUAAAAUUGGAUAAAAUUUUCCCGUAAAAAGGAAUAAACUUUUCAGUUUUAAAGUUAAAACUUAAAUUGACCUACAAAAAAGGAAAUUUAAUUAUAAAACUAACUUGAUCUCAAAUCAGAUAAGAGUACCCGCUGAACUUAAGCAUAUCAAUAAGCGGAGGAAAAGAAACUAACAAGGAUUCCCUUAGUAACGGCGAGUGAAGCGGGAAGAGCUCAAAUUUGAAAUCUUCAAGGUUCUACCUUGACGAAUUGUAGUUUAAACAAGUGUUUUCUGUUAGUGGAGUGGCAAAAGUUCUUUGGAGUAGGACAUCAUAGAGGGUGAGAAUCCCGUAUUUGGUCAUUCCUUCUAGCUUUGUGAUACACUUUCAAAGAGUCGGAUUGUUUGGGAAUGCAGUCCAAAAUGGGUGGUAAAUUUCAUCUAAAGCUAAAUAUUGGCGAGAGACCGAUAGCGAACAAGUACCGUGAGGGAAAGAUGAAAAGAACUUUGAAAAGAGAGUUAAACAGUACGUGAAAUUGUCAAAAGGGAAGCGUUUGACACCAGUGUUGUUUUUUCCGAAAAUCAAUUAUAAAUGUUUUGUUUCUGAGGAGUGAUGACUUCAUCGGCUUCCUUCUCUCUUCACGAAACUUUUGUAAUGCACUUUUCGGUUAACAAGUCAACAUCAAUUUCUUUUGUUGUAAAAGAGUAUUCGGAAGGUGGCUUUCUUUUCGGAGAAAGUGUUUAUAGCCUUUGAUCUCUGCAAUCGGAGAGAUGAGGUCUGCAGCGUAGAUCCUUCGGGGUAGAUACAUUGUGCUAAGUUAUAACUUUUCAUAGACAACUUGUUGACUAUGUUUAGUCUGUAGCUUACUCGCUUAUGCUAUUU